AGAGUUUGAUCCUGGCUCAGAACGAACGCUGGCGGCGCGUUUUAAGCAUGCAAGUCAAACGGUAUAAAGGUGCUUGCACCUUUAGAGAGUGGCGAACGGGUGAGUAACACGUAGAUAAUCUGCCUUUGGAUUGGGGAUAGCAUAUGGAAACAUGUGGUAAUACCGAAUAAGUUCUUUUCAGCAAAAGCUGGAUAGAGGAAAGGUGCUUAGGCACCGUCCGAAGAUGAGUCUGCGGUUCAUUAGCUGGUUGGUGGGGUAAAGGCCUACCAAGGUGACGAUGAAUAGCCGGCCUGAGAGGGUGGACGGCCACACUGGGACUGAGACACGGCCCAGACUCCUACGGGAGGCAGCAGCUAAGAAUCUUCCGCAAUGGGGGAAACCCUGACGGAGCGACGCCGCGUGAACGAUGAAGGCGGAAACGUUGUAAAGUUCUUUUCUUGGGGAGGAAUAAGUCUGGUAGGUAAUGACCGGAUGAUGACGUUAACCAAGGAAUAAGCCCCGGCCAAUUACGUGCCAGCAGCCGCGGUAACACGUAAGGGGCAAGCGUUGUUCGGAAUUAUUGGGCGUAAAGGGCGCGUAGGCGGUUUUACAAGUCUGGUGUGAAAUACCUCAGCUUAACUGAGGAAACGCGCUGGAAACUGUAAGACUAGAAUCUAGGAGGGGAAGCUGGAAUUCCUGGUGUAGGGGUGAAAUCUGUAGAUAUCAGGAAGAACACCGGUGGCGAAGGCGAGCUUCUGGCCAUAGAUUGACGCUGAGGCGCGAAAGCGUGGGGAGCGAACAGGAUUAGAUACCCUGGUAGUCCACGCUGUAAACGAUGUGCACUAGGUGUUGGACCAUAAGGUUCAGUGCCGCA
rnacentral:rRNA from 1 species